rnacentral:rRNA from 1 species
CUAAGUUCGAUGGCGACCGGCGCACGGGUGAGUAACACGUAUCCAACCUGCCGAUAACUCGGGGAUAGCCUUUCGAAAGAAAGACUAAUACCCGAUGGCAUAAUAGAACCGCAUGGUUUGAUUAUUAAAGAAUUUCGGUUAUCGAUGGGGAUGCGUUCCAUUAGGCAGUUGGUGGGGUAACGGCCCACCAAACCUUCGAUGGAUAGGGGUUCUGAGAGGAAGGUCCCCCACAUUGGAACUGAGACACGGUCCAA